rnacentral:misc_RNA from 1 species
GUUGAGCAUAUGCAGCCACAUGAGAGUUGUCAUAGUCAAUGCCUCCUCCAUGAACCAAGCAAUUUUCAAGUAGAUCUUCUGGAUAUUUCUUUCUGAAGUGUUCUUCAACCAGCUCAUCAAUGAUAUCAACUCUCAAGCAAGUAUCAGCUUCAGAAUGAUGCUUCUUCAUAGUGUUAUUAAUGUUGAAAACCAAUUGAUCUUCACCA